GUCCUCAUGGCGUAGUGGUAACGCGCCCCAACUAGAGAUCGGGGAGUCGUGAGUUCGAUUCUCACUGAGAAGA
rnacentral:tRNA from 1 species